rnacentral:tRNA from 1 species
GGGGAGAUAGUUUAACUAGGUAAAACACUGAUUUUGCAUGUCUGAAUUAUGGAAUCGUUCUCCAUUCUCUCCA